rnacentral:rRNA from 1 species
UACAGAGGUCUCAAGCGUUGUUCGGAUUCAUUGGGCGUAAAGGGUGCGUAGGUGGCGCUGUAAGUCGGGUGUGAAAUUUCGGAGCUUAACUCCGAAACUGCAUUCGAUACUGCGGUGCUUGAGGACUGGAGAGGAGACUGGAAUUCAUGGUGUAGCAGUGAAAUGCGUAGAGAUCAUGAGGAAGACCGUGGCGAAGGCGGCUCUCUGGGACGGUACUGACGCUGAGACGCGAAAAGCGUGGGGGAGCGAACAGG